AAGGACAUCAAAAUAUAGAGAAAUAGAAAAUGCAGACAGGAGACUUCAAUUUCUAUUUCUCUAUAUUUUGAUGUCCUUCAAUUAUUGGAUAACAAUAAAAUACAUCAACUCUGAAGGCCGAACAGAAUGAGCUACGGCAGCAAAUCAUUGCCAUUGACACAAAUCUAAGCCAAAAUUGCCCACAGAAGAAGACCUAAGUUACAACUAAGCCACCCUGACAAAAAUAACAAGCAACCAGAAUGCCAAGCACAGCUCCAGCAAAGACUUGUAGCGGAGUAUGCCCAAGAAGUUCCUUGAGUUUUCUCUCACUGAUAGGAUGCCCUUGAAACAGGUCCUUAACGAUCAGAUUAAGAACCUCAGCUUGCAUUCCAGCGUGACGCCUAACACCAAUUGCAUCAUACAUAACUAUAAGGCUAAACCCCAAACAAACUGGAAAUAACGAAUCAGCCACCCCGUGACAAAGCGCCACUGAUGUUGUCAAAGCAGUGCAUAAAGCAGAGUGUGAAGAUGGCAUCCCUCCAGAAGCAAACAGUAUUCUUAAAUCCCAUUUCCUCUCCACAAAGAAAUUCAAAAUCACCUUUAUUGAUUGGGCCACAAACCAUGCGAGUAAACCCGAUAUAAAAGUUGGGUUUGCUGCCAAUGUCGCCACAAAAGGACUAAUUCGAACCUUAGCGUUCGAUGUAAUGCUUAAUAAAGCCACUCCAAAAGCUCCGUUUUGCAAGUAAUUGCCACUGUAACAGUUCAUUGCUUUCUCCGAUUCCUCGCUACAAGCUCGUAGGCGAGAAACCCAUUUCUUGGUUUGAGAAGAAGCUACGCCCUUGACGCGUUGAAAGAUUGGGACGAAAACCCAUAAAGGGUUAAAAGAAAAGACGUUACUAUUACAGUCUGAAUUGGGGUUUUGCCGAUUUGAAGGAGUUCUACUGGACAAACAAAUAGGAGAAGUUUUAAAUUUGGUAAAAUAAGUCAACUUGAAGAAUGACAAGUGUUUAGGAUAGAAAGAUUUAGCGCUGGGAUUUGGAGGAUUCAAAAAGAAAUAGUUAAAACUGGGUUUAAGGAUUAAAGAGUCCAUGAGAGGAGACUUCUACGCUUGAGCUCAGUUUCAGUCAGCAUUUCAGAGAGGAACUCUGACGAAGAAACGAAAGGCUAAGUUAGAGUUUGAAACACCGCACCAGAAAGGGAUUCGCUACAGUGGAUAGGAACUAGUGGUGGAGCAAGAGACCUUCGU
rnacentral:misc_RNA from 1 species